CGCGUAGACGGUUUUGUAAGUCAGAUGUGAAAUCCCUGGGCUCAACCUGGGAACUGCAUUUGAAACUGCAUGGCUAGAGUAUGGAAGAGGGAAGUGGAAUUUCCGGUGUAGCGGUGAAAUGCGUAGAUAUCGGAAGGAACACCAGCGGCGAAAGCGACUUCCUGGUCCAAUACUGACGUUCAUGUGCGAAAGCGUGGGGAGCAAACAGGAUUAGAUACCCUGGUAGUCCACGCCAUAAACGAUGACAACUAGAUGUUGGGAGGGUCUGCCUCUCGGUGUCGCAGCUAACGCGUUAAGUUGUCCGCCUGGGGAGUACGGCCGCAAGGUUGAA
rnacentral:rRNA from 1 species